rnacentral:rRNA from 1 species
UAACGAUACGGGACUCAUCCGAGGCCCCGUAAUCGGAAUGAGUACACUUUAAAUCCUUUAACGAGGACCCAUUGGAGGGCAAGUCUGGUGCCAGCAGCCGCGGUAAUUCCAGCUCCAAUAGCGUAUAUUAAAGUUGUUGCGGUUAAAAAGCUCGUAGUUGAAUCUGUGUGCUACGGUGUUGGUUCAUCGCUCGCGAUGUUUAAUCGGCAUGAUUGUAGUGCGUCCUACCGGUGGGCUUAGCUCCUUUCGGGGGGCGGUCCAGCUAAUAUCCCGUCGCGGUGCUCUUAAUCGAGCGUCGAGGUGGGCCGGUACGUUUACUUUGAACAAAUUAGAGUGCUCAAAGCAGGCUAUGUUCGCCUGAAUAUUUUUUGCAUGGAAUAAUGGAAUAGGACCUCGGUUCUAUUUUGUUGGUUUUCGGAACCCCGAGGUAAUGAUUAAUAGGGACAGAUGGGGGCAUUCGUAUUGCGACGUUAGAGGUGAAAUUCUUGGAUCGUCGCAAGACGGACAGAAGCGAAAGCAUUUGCCAAAAAUGUUUUCAUUAAUCAAGAACGAAAGUUAGAGGUUCGAAGGCGAUCAGAUACCGCCCUAGUUCUAACCAUAAACGAUGCCAGCUAGCGAUCCGCCGAAGUUCCUCCGAUGACUCGGCGGGCAGCUUCCGGGAAACC